rnacentral:misc_RNA from 1 species
GAUGAAGAACGCAGUGAAAUGCGAUAAGUAGUGUGAAUUGCAGAAUUCAGUGAAUCAUCGAAUCUUUGAACGCACAUUGCGCCCCUUGGUAUUCCAUGGGGCAUGCCUGUUCGAGCGUCAUUUGUACCUUCAAGCUUUGCUUGGUGUUGGGUGUUUGUCUCGCCUCUGCGUGUAGACUCGCCUUAAAACAAUUGGCAGCCGGCGUAUUGAUUUCGGAGCGCAGUACAUCUCGCGCUUUGCACUCAUAACGACGACGUCCAAAAGUACAUUUUUACACUCUUGACCUCGGAUCAGGUAGGGAUACCCGCUGAACUUAAGCAUAUCAAUAAGCGGAGGA